rnacentral:lncRNA from 1 species
CUCGUUCUAAUAUCAAGUAAAAUACCACGGCGCCUUGACUCACAUUUGCGAAUAAACCUGCGGACCAUAAAUCAAGUCGCGCGUAACGUCGAAAGAAUCAUCUGCAAAAAGAUCGGUGCAACACGAGGACCUCCCAAGAAAAUGGGUGAAAUAUAAGGACUUCUCAGGAGGUCACCCAUGCUAGUACUACUCUCGCCCAAACACCCUUACCUACGGAGUUCCGAUAGAAUCCAUUGCAUUAGUGCUGGUAUGAUCGCACCUGUUUCAUUAUGCACUGCAAAUACAUACACUCUUUCUCCUUCCAUCCCCCCUCCCGUCAUUUGUUUCCUUGUGCGUGCACUCUGCAUCUCUCUUUCUCGUUCUAAUAUCAAGUAAUAUGCCCCGGCACCGUGACUCACCUUUGCAAAUGAACCAGCGGUUUAUACCUUUCGCGCGUAACGUCGAACAACCCAUCCGAAAAAAAAUAGGUACAACACGAGGGCUUCCAAAGUGGUCACCCAUCCGAGUACUACUCUCGCCCAAGCACACUUAACUGCGGAGUUCUGAUGGGAUCCGGGGCUUUAUUACUGGUAUGAUCACACCUGUUUAAUUUCUCGCUGCAAAUACAUACACUCCUUCUUCUUUCUUCCCCCUCCCGUCAUUUGUUUCCUUGUGCGUUCACACUUCACCUCUCAUUCUCGUUCUAAUAUCAAUUAAAAUGCCCCUACUUCUUGACUCACAUUUGCGUAUAAACCAGCGGAUCCUAGUUCCAGACGCGCGUAACGUCGAACGACCCGUCUGAAAAAAAAUUGGUGCGACACGAGGACUUCCCGGGAGGUCACCCAUCCGAGUACUAAUCUCGCCCAAGCACACUUAACUGCGGAGUUCUGAUGGGAUCCGGUGCAUUAAUGCUGGUAUGAUCGCACUUAUUUAAUUUUGCGCUGCAAAUACAUAAACUCAUUCCCUUUUCUUCCCCCUCCCGUCAUUUGUUUCCUUGUGCGUGCGAACUGCACCUCCCGUUCUCGUUCAAAUAUCAAGUAAAAUGCCACGGCGCCGUGACUCACAUUUGCGAAUAAACCUGCGGACCAUAAUUCAAGUCGCGCGUAACGUCGAAAGAAUCAUCUGCAAAAAAAUGGGUGCAACACGAGGACUUCCUAAGAAAAUGGGUGAAAUAUAAGGACUUCGCAGGAGGUCACCCAUCCUAGUACUUUUCUCGCCAAAGCACCCUUAACUGCG